rnacentral:lncRNA from 1 species
AGAGCCCAUCUCAUGUGCUGGGCCAAGGCCUGGACGAAGACAGGAGGGACGGCUAUUGUACCCACAUUUCUUCUCUUCUAUUAGUUUAUUCUUUGAAACUGGUAAUUAAUGCCUUCCAGCAUCAUCGUCAUGCUCGAUCAUUUCUGGCAGAAGCUACUUAUGAAGAGGAUGCGAAGUUGCUCGAGGAAAUGCUAAUCGAAGAGAAAGCGAUGUGAUGUGACGAUUGGAAGCUGAGAGGAAUAGCAUGAAGUCUAUGUGACAACUCAAAAGCAAGUGACGUAAAACCUUCUCUUACGACGGGCCAUGAAGUCUCAGCAAUGACAUGAGCACAGAUUCAUCCAAACCAGUGCAAGUUUAAAGUUCCAGGGACUUAACACUGUGUCACUUUCUCUGAUAGUUUUUAUGACUGUCAGAAUUAAAACUGUAAUUUCCUUUCAGCAGUCAAGUCUUUGCGUAAAAUUUGGGGUGUUUCUACUUUCCAGUCCCCGAUGCCACUAGAAAACAGAGCUAAUAUCAUGAUAUGAUCGGUGACCUGAAUUCACCAGUCUGAGGACAGCAGUUUCCUUGUUCGAGAGGAGUCUUUUGUUGGAAUGACAGAGA